rnacentral:rRNA from 1 species
UACGUAGGGGGCAAGCGUUAUCCGGAUUUACUGGGUGUAAAGGGAGCGUAGACGGCAGUGCAAGUCUGAGGUGAAAGGCGGGGGCCCAACCCCCGGACUGCUUUGGAAACUGUGCUGCUGGAGUGCAGGAGAGGCAAGUGGAAUUCCUAGUGUAGCGGUGAAAUGCGUAGAUAUUAGGAGGAACACCAGUGGCGAAGGCGGCUUGCUGGACUGUAACUGACGUUGAGGCUCGAAAGCGUGGGGAGCAAACAGG